rnacentral:rRNA from 1 species
CGUUCUCAGUUCGGAUCGGAGUCUGCAACCCGACUCCGUGAAGCUGGAUUCGCUAGUAAUCGCGCAUCAGCCAUGGCGCGGUGAGUACGUUCCCGGGCCUUGUACACACCGCCCGUCACACCAUGAGAGUCGGGAACACCCGAAGUCCGUAGCCUAACCGCAAGGGGGGCGCGGCCGAAGGUGGGUUCGAUAAUUGGGGUGAAGUCGUAACAAGGUACC